rnacentral:rRNA from 1 species
CCUACGGGAGGCAGCAGUGGGGAAUAUUGGACAAUGGGGGGAACCCUGAUCCAGCCAUGCCGCGUGUGUGAAGAAGGCCCUCGGGUUGUAAAGCACUUUCAGUGAGGAAGAACGCCUGGUGGUUAAUACCCAUCAGGAAAGACAUCACUCACAGAAGAAGCACCGGCUAACUCCGUGCCAGCAGCCGCGGUAAUACGGAGGGUGCGAGCGUUAAUCGGAAUUACUGGGCGUAAAGCGCGCGUAGGUGGCUUGAUAAGCCGGUUGUGAAAGCCCCGGGCUCAACCUGGGAACGGCAUCCGGAACUGUCAAGCUAGAGUGCAGGAGAGGAAGGUAGAAUUCCCGGUGUAGCGGUGAAAUGCGUAGAGAUCGGGAGGAAUACCAGUGGCGAAGGCGGCCUUCUGGACUGACACUGACACUGAGGUGCGAAAGCGUGGGUAGCAAACAGGAUUAGAUACCUUUGUAGUC